rnacentral:rRNA from 1 species
CAAGACUCCUACGGGAGGCAGCAGUGGGGACUCCUGCACAAUGGGGGCCCCCCUGAUGCCGCGCCGCAGCGUGCGUGCCGAAGUACUUCGUUCUGUAAAGCUCUCUCAGCAGGGCCGCCCCUGACGGUCCCUGCGUAAGAAGCCCCGGCUAACUACGUGCCGGCAGCCGCGGUCCUACGUAGGGGGCCAGCGUUAUCCGGCUUUCCUGGGUGUCCAGGGAGCGGAGACGGCCGUGCAAGUCUGGAGUGAAAGGCGGGGGCGCAACCCCCGGACUGCUCUGGAAACUGUACGGCUGGAGUGCAGGAGAGGUAAGGGGAAGGCCUAGUGGAGCGGUGAAAUGCGGAGAGAUUAGGAGG